AGGUUGGUGAUGUAUUUGCUGAUGGAAAGGCAGUCAAAAGUCAUUCUGUACACCAUUCUACCAAGAGACGAUAAUGUCGAGGCCAACCGUAAAGCCAAGCUUGUGAAUAAGAAAUUGAAGAAAUUCUUCCGAAAGUGUUGUUUGCCUGUUCAGGUUUUUGCUACUGAGACAUUGGUUGGUCAGCCACCAAGGAUGCUUUCUCAAAAAGACAAGCUGCAUCUUUCAGAAUAUGGAAUGGGGGUCUUUGGUGAUGUGCUGUCUCAACAGUUGACAGGGGAUUGCUACAGGAGUAUCCACAGAAUACAGUUCCAGAGAAAGACAUCUCGUUGCACACUGUGUCAGGC